rnacentral:rRNA from 1 species
AGAGUUUGAUCCUGGCUCAGAUUGAACGCUGGCGGCAGGCUUAACACAUGCAAGUCGAGCGGUAACAGAGAGUAGCUUGCUACUUUGCUGACGAGCGGCGGACGGGUGAGUAACGCGUAGAAAACUGCCCAGUAGUGGGGGAUAGCCCAGAGAAAUUUGGAUUAAUACCGCAUACGCCCUACGGGGGAAAGGGGGCUUCGGCUCUCGCUAUUGGAUGUGUCUGCGUGGGAUUAGCUAGUUGGUGAGGUAAGGGCUCACCAAGGCGACGAUCCCUAGCUGGUCUGAGAGGAUGAUCAGCCACACUGGGACUGAGACACGGCCCAGACUCCUACGGGAGGCAGCAGUGGGGAAUAUUGCACAAUGGGCGCAAGCCUGAUGCAGCCAUGCCGCGUGUGUGAAGAAGGCUUUCGGGUUGUAAAGCACUUUCAGUGAGGAGGAAAAGUUAACGGUUAAUACCCGUUAGCCCUGACGUACUCACAGAAGAAGCACCGCUAACUU